ACUGUCCCUUUGCAGCAGCUGGGGGAGAGGGAGGAAGGUGCUGAUCUUCGUCUGCCUGGUGCCCAGCUGGGCCAAACCACUGAGGGCUCACAGCUGAUUUCCACGCCGAGCUUGGUAUUAGCCUAAAUGCCCCUAUAAAGACUUUAUGAGUUUGUUACUUUAAUUGCUGACUUGUUACAGAGCACAUAAAGAGGGCAAUGAAUGUAAUAAAGGCUUUAUUAAAGUUUGGGGAUGGUGUUUUUCAGUCCUGCCCCAGGCACAGACUGUAUGACCUUCCUGAGCUGCUGAGUUUUUUUAUCAGACAAGACUUGCCCUGAUUGGUGGCCCAAAA